CUGCUGCCUCCCGUAGGAGUCUGGUCCGUGUCUCAGUACCAGUGUGGGGGACCUUCCUCUCAGAACCCCUACGCAUCGUCGUCUUGGUGGUCCGUUACACCGCCAACUAACUAAUGCGACGCAUGCCCAUCCGCCACCGGAAUCAACCUUUGGCACCAACAGGAUGUCCCGUCGAUGCAUUAUGCCGUAUUAGACGGAAUUUCUCCCGAUUAUCCGGCUGUGGCAGGCAGGUUGCAUACGUGUUACUCACCCG
rnacentral:rRNA from 1 species